GUCCCAUCACGAGCGGCUGAGAGACCUGGCUCGACGACGCCGCAGCAACCCCCCUCCCACGAGGGUGCGGGUGCUCAUGCCAGGACCGAUGGAGC
rnacentral:ncRNA from 2 species